rnacentral:lncRNA from 1 species
UAAGAUCCUCACCCUAGUUGCCUGGAAGUCAGUCUUCCACUAGCAGCCUUUGGAUGAAGACAUAGAACUCUCAGCUCCUCCUGCGCCAUGCCUGCCUGGAUACUGCCAUGCUCCCACCUUGAUGAUAAUGGACUGAACCUCUGAAUCUAUUGAAGAAAUAAGAAACAUCAUAGAGAAGGCCUCUCAAAACUGACAUCCUGAACUGAUAAAUGACUCUUGCAUGGAUGAAUCCUUUCAGCUCCUUACAGAUUUGUAUCAGUCCUUUAGUUGGCUUAUUGCUCUAGCUUCAAGUAUUAUAUGGAAGAAAUGGGGAGAGAGAGUGGACAGUCUUGUCCCUGAUUUUAGUGGAAUUGCUUUAAGUUUCUCUCCAUUUAAGUUGAUAUUGGCUAUCUGUUGUAUAUUACCUUUAUUGUGUUAAGAAUGGGCCUUAUAUUCCUAAUCUCUCCAAGACCUUUAACAUGAAGGGGUGUUGAAUUUUGUCAAGUGAUUUUCCAGCAUCUAAUGAGAUUAAUAUGUGGUUUUUUGCUUUCAGUUUGUGUAUAUGGUGGAUUAUGUUGAUGAAUUGAACCACCCCUGAAUCCCGGGAAUAAAUUCUACUUGAUCAUGGUUGAUGAUGUCUUUGAUGUGUUCUUGGACUUAGCUUCC